GAGAGAGACAUGCGCGCAUAUCAAUAAGCGGAGGAAAAGAAACUAACAAGGAUUCCCUUAGUAACGGCGAGUGAAGCGGGAAGAGCUCAAAUUUGAAAUCUUCAAGGUUCUACCUUGACGAAUUGUAGUUUAUAGAAGUGUUUUCUGUUAGUGGAGUGGCAAAAGUUCUUUGGAAUAGGACAUCAUAGAGGGUGAGAAUCCCGUAUUUGGUCAUUCCUCCUAGCGUUGUGAUACACUUUCAACGAGUCGGAUUGUUUGGGAAUGCAGUCCAAAAUGGGUGGUAAAUUUCAUCUAAAGCUAAAUAUUGGCGAGAGACCGAUAGCGAACAAGUACCGUGAGGGAAAGAUGAAAAGAACUUUGAAAAGAGAGUUAAACAGUACGUGAAAUUGUCAAAAGGGAAGCGUUUGACACCAGUGUUGUUUUUCCGAAAAUCAAUUACGAAUGUUUUGUUUUUGAGGAGUUAUGACUUCAUCGGCUUGCUUCUUUCUUUACGAAACUUUCUUAAUGCACUUUUCGGUUAACAGGUCAACAUCAAUUUCUUUUGUUGUAAAAGGGUAUGAGGAAGGUGGCUUUCUUUUCGGAGAAAGUGUUUAUAGCCUUGUACCUCUGCAAUCGGAGAGAUUGAGGUCUGCAGCGUAGAUCCUUCGGGGUCAGAUACAUUUGUGCUAAGUUAUAGCUUUUCAUAGACAACUUGUUGACUAUGUUUAGUCUUGUAGCUUACUCGCUUAUGCUAUUUUACCUACGCUUAGGAUGUUGAUAGUCACAGCGUGUAC
rnacentral:rRNA from 1 species